rnacentral:rRNA from 1 species
CCUACGGGGGGCUGCAGUAAGGAAUAUUGGGCAAUGGAGGCAACUCUGACCCAGCCAUGCCGCGUGAAGGAUUGACGGCCCUCUGGGUUGUAAACUUCUUUUGUACGGGAAUAACCCUCCGAACGUGUUCGGAGCUGAAGGUACCGUAAGAAUAAGGAUCGGCUAACUCCGUGCCAGCAGCCGCGGUAAUACGGAGGAUCCAAGCGUUAUCCGGAUUUACUGGGUUUAAAGGGUGCGUAGGCGGAUUGAUAAGUCAGUGGUGAAAUCCUGCAGCUUAACUGCAGAACUGCCAUUGAUACUGUUAGUCUGGAGUAUGGUUGAGGUAGCUGGAAUGUGUCAUGUAGCGGUGAAAUGCUUAGAGAUGACACAGAACACCGACGGCGAAGGCAGGUUACCAACCCAUUACUGACGCUGAGGCACGAAAGCGUGGGGAUCAAACAGGAUUAGAUACCCCAGUAGUC